UAGCAGAGCCGCUGUUAUCAUUUUGGGCGGUUCUAACUCUGACGCUUUCAAUUCAACUGUAAUCAGAAGUUGCGAGUAGCCAAAUCCACAGAGCCAGAUUUGCAGAAUGCAGAAUUUGUGGAUACUAUAGAAAUGCUUCGAUAUGAUUUUAUCAUUUCAUUAUUCUUUAUAAAGCCAAUUAAUAAAUAUGUGUAUUCAAUGUUGUUGUGUUUAUGAUAUUUUUGAUAGAAUUUUCACAAGAUUUAUAUUUUGUUACUUUAUCAUAAACCCAUUGCGUAGCCAUUUGUAAGUUAGC